CCCAUUCCUAUGGCUGAACUGCCCCUUUCUCUUACAUGGAUUCCUGACUCUGCACAUGUGAAAUGUUUGGGAUCAGAUCCACAUCGGGAUGACUGAAACUUGCUGAAAGGUUAGGUCAAGUGAUUCUUUUGCUACAAUUGUUCUUCUUGGGCCCCAUCCUGUUCCUACUGAAAUCACACAAAACAAAACUUGCUAAACGUAACAGGGCCAGAUCCUCAACAGGGCCAAAUCCAUGUAGCCCUGUUGCCUUCAGUGGAGCUACACUGAUUCAUACCAGUUGGGAAUCUGGCCCAAGAGUUUGCACUUUCGUCUCAGGGAAAGGCUUAGGAGCAUUUUAAGAGUGAUACUAUGCUGUGUCUUUUCUGGUGCACCACACAGCUCAGCUGGACUAUCAAAACACAAAUUCAGUCAAGACAUUCCAAGAAGUUCAGUUUCAGUCAAGUUUCCAAGAAGGGGGGAAGUUGUACUUGCUGGUCUAACUUAUUUUAGCUGUUUCCCAGUUCACCAUUUGGCUAUACUGAAUGGAAGUAGACCACAUCUGACUGACUGUAACUUUCCCUUAGUCGUACAAACCUGGUAGAUUGCAUCAGCAUUUCUAAAAUCUAAACAAAUAAGCAGAGACAGAGAAAAGGACAACCAGAUAUAUUUACAGUAUGAAAACAGAAUGAUCUGACCCGCUUAGAGCUCUCUCCUCUUCAGAGCCCACCAUGCAGAGUAUUUUCACAUGCUAAUAUGCAGUGAGAUGAAGAAAGCCAAGCAAUUGAAAGGAACGUGCGGUGAGACUGUCUCCUGUGUCUUGCUACCCAGCAGUUUGCAGUGUCUUCAAGAAAAACAUCUAUGGUGCAUACCUGGUGAAAACAAUGUGCUAACGUCAUGGACCUAGUCACAGCUUCUUUUAAGAUCUGAUUCAAGGACUCCUAUUGGAUUCAAUGAACUUCAGAUCAUGCGCCUGAUGGUUCUGUGCUGAUGGGACGCCUGCUACUCGCCAAGCUUCAAAGUAAUUUUUUAAAUGGUAAUUUCAGAAAUUGAGCUCUUCCCACUCCAAAAGGUUCUUGCACAGGUGUAAACUGAGAGCAGAAAAUGGCCUAUUAUAACAGUAUUUUUCCUCUAGAGUCCUUGUAUACAAUGAACACCAACAGAAACAAAUAAAUGUUUAGCUUAUGAGCAGGAGUGAAUUUUGGUAUUUCACUCCCACUCAACAAUGGGUUAUUUAUAGUAACUAAUCAUAUACACACACCUUGCAAUAUGCUUUUUUAAUGUUAUCUCCAUUGAAAAUGUUUAAUAUUUUGCAAAACCUAGAGUUCCAGAAUCCAGUAUUUGAUUAUAUUUGAAGAUUCUUAAUUGAUAGAAAAUGUGUUACUAUUUUUGUAACACUUUGAUAUCUAAUUAUGAAAGAUAAAUCGAAUUGUUGACAGGACCAGAUACUUUCUUACAUAUACAGCAAACGUGAAGGUGGCAGACAGAUCAGGUAAGAGGAUAAAGUAAAGUCAAGGCAGUACAAGUCAUUGGUUAGAGUUCACUGCUCUAACAGCAAUGAUCUAUUUUUAACAUAUUCCCUCCACUUGUGCCCACCCCCGCCAAAAACGGCAUUUUAAAAAUGGAAUAAAAUCAGAAUUGUUACGGC